CCAUUUCCGAAGACAAAUGAGGGAACAUCAAUGAAUGAGGACAAAAUGAAAAGAAAAAUUGAUUUAAGCUUCAACCUUUUGCAAUCACAAUACAUUGUAGAUGAUUAGUUUGGAAAACAUGAUAUCAUUCGAAAGCAACUCGAUGUAUGGCAUGAUACAUAGAGAAUGUUAGAUCGGCUCCAGCACCCUCCAUCCAACCAUCCAUCUCACGCUUAUAAUCCAAUAAGUUGUUAUCUAAAUCUCUUUAUUCUUUAAUUAUAAA
rnacentral:lncRNA from 1 species